rnacentral:lncRNA from 1 species
GUGUGAGCACUGAGCACCUGCGGUCUUGUGAGCACUGUGCACCUGCGGUCUUGUGAGCACUGUGCACCUGCGCUCCUGUCUGGCCUCGUUCUCUCUUGAACUGAGAAUUCGCCAGCAUGGCGAGGAGACCGCCUCCUGCCGUGGGCCCCGCGGGCGCCCAUGGAAGGUCCGCAGCCUCCUGUGUCCCUUCCUGUGUGCACGGGGGGAGGCAGGGUUAGAUGUGAGUCGUCUGUAAGCACUGGAGAGGACCUCCAGUUGUCGGCACCCUUCAGAAUAUGCACUGUGUGUAUAUUCCUUCUAAAUCUAUUUGUUUUAUGUUGCGGGUGUAUCUGCACCCCACCUGUGUGCCUGCUGCUCAUGGAGGCCACAGAAGCCAUCGGUCUGGAACUAGAGUCACAGGCAGUUGUAAGCCAACACGUGCUGGACAUCUGCUGGCGUCACAACAGCAGCCGGUGCUGCUUUUAGCUGCUGAGCCAUCUCUGAUGGGGACGGUGCUUCUGUGUAUGUUCAUCUUACUGAUUGUUGACUAAAGUACUGUUGGCCAAUGAGGCAGCAAGUUAGGUGGAACUAGGAGUCAAGCAGGAUUCUGGGAAAUGUAGUAGAGAAGUGGUGAUCCAGGCAGGAAGUGACAUGGCAGGGAGACUCCUAUAUAAACAAGGGCAAGAAGGAGGUGGGCCCCUUCGCUCUUCCUCCAGAGUCACCAUGUGAGCCCGAGAUAAGGACGCCAAUGGAAGGCAUCAGAUAAGCCUUAUAAAAUAUAUGGAUUUAUGAUAAUUAAGACUGAGCUAACAGAUGAGAAUCCUAGUAAUUGGCCAAGCAACCUUUGUACCUAAUAGAAGUCUCUGUGUGUUACCUGGGGCCCUAACACAGCGAGCAGAACUCAGGCAGGUGGUGAGAAGAUUUAUCGUAACAUCUCUAUAGCCCUUACAUUUGUCACUGUUGUGAUGAAAUUCAGGACAAGAAGUCACUCGAGGAAGGAGGGCUUUAUUGUGGCUCACAGUUUUGAGGGUGCAGUCCAUCCUGGAAUGGAAGUCAUGGCGGCAGGAGCGGGAGGCAGCAGGUCACAUCACAUCCACAGUCCGGAAGCAGAGAAGAGGGUGCUGGCACUUACCUGCUUCUCCUUUUAUUCCGUCCAGAAACCAGCCCGUGUAAUAUAUUAUGUCAACUACACACGCUCAAGGGGAAUCUUCUCACCUCUGUUAGGCUAGAAAGUCCCUCAGACUUGCUCAGAAGUUCAUCUCCAAGGUGGAUAUGUCAGAAGGAUGGAUAGCAGGAAGAAAGAGAGAGAGAGGAAGAAGAGACGGAUGGAGGGGGGAGAGAGGAAGAGAGAAUGAAUGACAAUCUGGGGAAGAGAACGGCCUUUGGAGUUGUGCCCCAAGCGACCUGCUUGGUUACUUGCCAGUGGACUAGCGCAUGUAUGAAAAGAUUACCCUUAGGAGCCACGUAACUCUCUGUGGUUCAACCAUGCAGGAGCCAAGUCUUCAACACGUGAUGGGCUUCUGUGGGGACACUUAAACGAAAACCACAAACCACCACAAGACCAAGGGACGAAAGUGCAGCUGAGAUGGCUCAGCUGAUGAGUGCAUUGCGGCCAGGCCUGAUUAUGUGAGUUUGAUCUUGGGGUCCCACGUGGUAGAAGGAAAGAACCGACUCCUGCAAGUUGUCCUCUGACCUCCAAACAUGUUCUCUUGAAAGACCCCCGAAGAGGUACUUUCGUAGAAGGAGACCCGUACCCAGGAAUCAGCGAGACCACGAACUUGGAUGCAAACUGCAAGAGGUUUUAUUAGAGACGCGGGUACCUGGGGCGACUUAGCUUCUGUGUGGCUAAGCGCGCUGAGCCAAGGGAAAGGGGUCCUUAUAUAGGGAAAAAGGCGCAAGCUAGAAGCAGGG